rnacentral:rRNA from 1 species
UACGGGGGGGGCAAGCGUUGUUCGGAAUUACUGGGCGUAAAGAGCUCGUAGGCGGCUCGUUGCGUCGGCUGUGAAAACCCGCAGCUCAACUGUGGGCUUGCAGCCGAUACGGGCGGGCUGGAGUUCGGUAGGGGAGACUGGAAUUCCUGGUGUAGCGGUGAAAUGCGCAGAUAUCAGGAGGAACACCAACGGCGAAGGCAGCACUCUGGGCCGGUACUGACGCUGAGGAGCGAAAGCGUGGGGAGCAAACAGG